UGAGAAGACUACUAUGUUAAAAAAAUACGUUAAAUAGCUAAGUAAUACGUAUAUGAAUAUGUCAUUGUAAUUCAAAGACAUGCAUUUGGUGUGUUUCAACCCAUGCUAUAAUGUUCAAAGCAAACUUAGCUCUUUACCCAUGUAUCCAUCUAAUAAGUUUCACGUUUCUAAUAAGAGUAGUUCUACGUUAUUUUCACAUUUUGUUUUGUUUUCAUAAAUUUAACCCAUCCU
rnacentral:lncRNA from 1 species